rnacentral:rRNA from 1 species
GGUUAAGCGACUAAGCGUACACGGUGGAUGCCCUGGCAGUCAGAGGCGAUGAAGGGCGUGCUAAUCUGCGAUAAGCGCCGGUAAGGUGAUAUGAACCGUUAUAACCGGCGAUACCCGAAUGGGGAAACCCAGUGUGACUCGUCACACUAUCAUUAACUGAAUCCAUAGGUUAAUGAGGCGAACCGGGGGAACUGAAACAUCUAAGUACCCCGAGGAAAAGAAAUCAACCGAGAUUCCCCCAGUAGCGGCGAGCGAACGGGGAGGAGCCCAGAGCCUGAAUCAGCAUGUGUGUUAGUGGAAGCGUCUGGAAAGGCGCGCGAUACAGGGUGACAGCCCCGUACACAAAAGCGCAUGUGCUGUGAGCUCGAUGAGUAGGGCGGGACACGUGGUAUCCUGUCUGAAUAUGGGGGGACCAUCCUCCAAGGCUAAAUACUCCUGACUGACCGAUAGUGAACCAGUACCGUGAGGGAAAGGCGAAAAGAACCCCGGCGAGGGGAGUGAAAAAGAACCUGAAACCGUGUACGUACAAGCAGUGGGAGCACAGGUUUACCUGUGUGACUGCGUACCUUUUGUAUAAUGGGUCAGCGACUUAUAUUCUGUAGCAAGGUUAACCGAAUAGGGGAGCCGGAGGGAAACCGAGUCUUAAUUGGGCGUUAAGUUGCAGGGUAUAGACCCGAAACCCGGUGAUCUAGCCAUGGGCAGGUUGAAGGUUGGGUAACACUAACUGGAGGACCGAACCGACUAAUGUUGAAAAAUUAGCGGAUGACCUGUGGCUGGGGGUGAAAGGCCAAUCAAACCGGGAGAUAGCUGGUUCUCCCCGAAAGCUAUUUAGGUAGCGCCUCGUGAACUCAUCUCCGGGGGUAGAGCACUGUUUCGGCUAGGGGGCCAUCCCGGCUUACCAACCCGAUGCAAACUGCGAAUACCGGAGAAUGUUAUCACGGGAGACACACGGCGGGUGCUAACGUCCGUCGUGAAGAGGGAAACAACCCAGACCGCCAGCUAAGGUCCCAAAGUCAUGGUUAAGUGGGAAACGAUGUGGGAAGGCCCAGACAGCCAGGAUGUUGGCUUAGAAGCAGCCAUCAUUUAAAGAAAGCGUAAUAGCUCACUGGUCGAGUCGGCCUGCGCGGAAGAUGUAACGGGGCUAAACCAUGCACCGAAGCUGCGGCAGCGACGCUGAUGCGUUGUUGGGUAGGGGAGCGUUCUGUAAGCCUGCGAAGGUGGCCUGUGAGGGUUGCUGGAGGUAUCAGAAGUGCGAAUGCUGACAUAAGUAACGAUAAAGCGGGUGAAAAGCCCGCUCGCCGGAAGACCAAGGGUUCCUGUCCAACGUUAAUCGGGGCAGGGUGAGUCGACCCCUAAGGCGAGGCCGAAAGGCGUAGUCGAUGGGAAACGGGUUAAUAUUCCCGUACUUGGUGUUACUGCGAAGGGGGGACGGAGAAGGCUAUGUUGGCCGGGCGACGGUUGUCCCGGUUUAAGCGUGU